UGGGGGAUAUUGCACAAUGGGCGAAAGCCUGAUGCAGCGACGCCGCGUGGGGGAUGAAGGCCUUCGGGUUGUAAACUUCUUUUGCUCUGAACAAGGCGCACCAUGGGGUGUGUUGAGUGUAGGGGUUGAUUAGCGCCGGCUAACUACGUGCCAGCAGCCGCGGUAAUACGUAGGGCGCGAGCGUUGUCCGGAAUUAUUGGGCGUAAAGGGCUUGUAGGUGGCUGGUUGCGUCUGUCGUGAAAGCUCAUGGCUUAACUGUGGGUUUGCGGUGGGUACGGGCUGGCUUGAGUGCAGUAGGGGAGGCUGGAAUUCCUGGUGUAGCGGUGGAAUGCGCAGAUAUCAGGAGGAAUACCGGUGCGAAGGCGGGUCUCUGGGCUGUUACUGACACUGAGGAGCGAAAGGAUGGGGAGCGAACAGG
rnacentral:rRNA from 1 species